rnacentral:lncRNA from 10 species
AGGUAAGACAAUGAAAUAUCCAGCCCAGCAGGACAGAAGAUUUGAGAUUUGGCUGGUUGGAAGUUUUAGAGCAGCUGUCAUAUUUGAAAGACUAAGUGCACAUCUCUAUAAAUGCACUUAGUCCAUCUAUCCCUUUUAAAGAAGUCACCACUGGUUAUGACAUAAACUUGAUGAAGAAUAUUGAAACUCAAAUUGCAGACAGAGUGUGUCUGACAAGGUUUUGGGGGUGAUGGUGGCAAGAGAAUGGCCAUUUUUAACAGAAAGAGGAUGCAGAUCUCAUUUUUAUUUGGAGGAUGCAGAUCACAUUUUUCUGUCUGUUCACAUCACAGGUAUGGACUAACAACACUCUAUGUGGCCUAAAAACCAACCAAAUCAAGUUUCUAUCAAGGCAGAAGAGGCAGGACAGCCAAGGAAUUGAGCAUAAAGGACACUCUACUGUGAGAGCUAGCCUUGAUUUGACAUGUGUCAGGAAACAUACGACCUCAAACAAUCUUCAUACACAAUGAAGAGAUAUAAGAAGAUUUGGUAAUCCAGGAAGUCUCGAAAGUUCUUCAGAAAUGUUUAACCUAUUUCAAAAAUUUUCAUUACUCUGCGCACACUAUUCCUCAUUACAGAAAGUGCUCAAUAAACUUCUGUAUGCUCCUAUUACUA